rnacentral:rRNA from 1 species
UACGGGGGGGGCAAGCGUUGUUCGGAAUUACUGGGCGUAAAGCGCGUGUAGGCGGCUCUUCAAGUCGGGUGUGAAAGCUCCAGGCUUAACCUGGGAAUUGCGCUCGAUACUGUUGAGCUAGAGUGUGGAAGGGGCUACUGGAAUUCCGUGUGUAGCGGUGAAAUGCGUAGAUAUACGGAGGAACACCUGCGGCGAAGGCGGUUAGCUGGGCCAACACUGACGCUGAGGAGCGAAAGCGUGGGGAGCGAACAGG